rnacentral:rRNA from 1 species
CCUACGGGUGGCAGCAGUGGGGAAUAUUGCACAAUGGGGGAAACCCUGAUGCAGCGACGCCGCGUGAAGGAAGAAGUAUUUCGGUAUGUAAACUUCUAUCAGCAGGGAAGAAAAUGACGGUACCUGAUUAAGAAGCCCCGGCUAACUACGUGCCAGCAGCCGCGGUAAUACGUAGGGGGCAAGCGUUAUCCGGAUUUACUGGGUGUAAAGGGCGCGUAGGCGGCGAUGCAAGUCAGAAGUGAAAGCACGGGGCUCAACUCCGGGACUGCUUUUGAAACUGUGUUGCUAGAUUGCAGGAGAGGUAAGUGGAAUUCCGGGUGUAGCGGUGAAAUGCGUAGAUAUUAGGAGGAACACCAGUGGCGAAGGCGGCUUGCUGGACUGUAAAUGACGCUGAGGCUCGAAAGCGUGGGGAGCAAACAGGAUUAGAUACCCCAGUAGUC